rnacentral:rRNA from 1 species
GAUGAACGCUAGCGGCAGGCCUAAUACAUGCAAGUCGAGGGGUAGAAGAGGCUUGCUUCUUUGAGACCGGCGCACGGGUGCGUAACGCGUAUGCAACCUACCUUCAUCUGGGGGAUAGCCCGGAGAAAUCCGGAUUAAUACCGCAUAAAAUCACAGGAUGGCAUUAUCCAAUGAUCAAACAUUUAUGGGAUGGAGAUGGGCAUGCGUGUCAUUAGCUAGUUGGCGGGGUAACGGCCCACCAAGGCGACGAUGACUAGGGGAUCUGAGAGGAUGGCCCCCCACACGGGUACUGAGGCACGUACCGGACUCCUACGAGAGGCAGCAGUAAGGAAUAUUGGUCAAUGGAGGCAACUCUAAACCAGCCAUGCCGCGUGCAAGAAGACUGCCCUAUGGGUUGUAAACUGCUUUUAUUCGGGAAUAAACCUUAUUACGUGUAAUAAGCUGAAUGUACCGAAGGAAUAAGGAUCGGCUAACUCCGUGCCAGCCGCCGCCGUAA